AUGAAUAUGUACUCCAUACAGAUAAGGGGUUGUACAUACCUGCAUUAUAGCUCUCUUUCUCUGUCUUCCUCCCACCUGCUAGCUGAAUGCCAUACUGUCUCUGGACUUUCUGUCAGCACUCAUGGGCACUGCUCUUUUCUCAUGGAUCUAAAACAUCCUCAAGGACCCUCAGAUGCUGCAGUAACCUUCAAGCAAAUGCAGCAGACAGUAUAUGACGUCUGAACUGUAGUACGGAGGGAGAAACCUCUCCACGUUCCUUUAAACUUUAUUUGUUCAAGGCCUUGCUUCUUUGCUCUUUGCUGGUUAUCUGGCAGGUAAGCCUACUUAAAGAAGCCUUCCCUCCAGUUCUUCUUUUUUUUUUUUUUUGAGAUGGAGUAUUGCUCUGUUGCCCAGGUUGGAGUGCAGUGGUGCAAUCUUGGCUCACUGCAACCUCUGCCUUCUGGGUCAAGCGAUUCUCCUGCCUCAGCCUCUCAAGUAGCUGGUAUUACAGGUGCCCACCACCACACCUGACUAAUUUUUGUAUUUUUAGUAGAGACAGAGUUUCAUCAUGUUAACCAGACUUGUCUCGAACUCCUGACUUCAAGUGAUCUGCCUGCCUUGGCCUCCCAAUGUGCUGGGAUUACAGGUAUGAGCCACUGCACCCAGCUGCUUCCCUCUAGUUCUUAAUGGGCCCUCACCAUCUGUUCCUGGACUAACAUACCCCCCCUCUAAUUAGGCCUAGACAGGAAGUCAGACAUAACCUUUUAAAAAUCUGAUCAUGUCACUUUUUUGGUUUAAAAAUCACCCACAUCCAGUCUCAUAUGUUUCUGGUAAAGGUGCAUAUGUAUACAUGUCUAUUGGAGGAAGCUGUUUCCCACAUGUAUACCUAUUCCCAUAUGUAUACAUGUAUUUUGGAAGAAAGUGUGUGUGUGUGUGUGUGUGUGUGUGUGUAUAUAUAUUAGCUAUGUUAAUUACCCUGAAUUGAUCAUAACAUAUUGUAUAUAUCAAUACGAUAUAUUGUGUAUAUAUCAAUAUGACACAACCCCUACUGGUCAAAAGGUAUAUAAAUACAUAAUUAUGAGACAGCAUCUUACUAUGUUGCCCAAGUUGGUUUCCAACUACUGGGCACAAGGGAUCCUCUUGACUCAGCCUCACAAGUAGUUAGGAUUACAGGCACAUGCCACAGCACCAGCUUAGUUGUUCUACUUUUAUUUAUUUAUUUUUAAACUGAUUUUAUUUUUUUGAGACAGGGUCUUGCUCUGUUGCUCAGGCUGGAGUGCAGUGGCAUGAUCUUGGCUCAUUUCAACCUCCACCUCCAGGGUUCAAGGGAUUCUCAUUACUCAGCUACCUGAGUAGCUGGAAAUAAAGGCACAUACCAUCACA
rnacentral:lncRNA from 13 species